UCUUCAGUUAAAUUUUUAGUAAGUGGUUCAUCCCAACCGAGACCCGCGAGCCAUAAUUUUUGUAUAAAGAUUUUAGCUACAACUAUUGUGGGCGCUAACCAACCCAAUGGGUCGAAUAAUCUAGCUAUAUCAGAGAUUACAGUUCUUUUUGUUGCAGGUGUAUUCUGAAGCGGCGGAAGAUGGACGGUGUACCGGAAGGAGUCAUCAUUACGAUCCCAGAUUUGGAUGCCGGUAGUUACGUCAUCGCAUCCAGUCAGUAAAUCAUCCAUAUAGUAGCAACUUAGUACCUUUUCAGACACGAGAGGAUAUUCGUCGCCUUCGUCGUAAGCAAUUUGAUGGAGAGUUCUGACUGCCAGCUAUAGCGCGAGAAUCACCUGCUGUGCACUGCGGAUCCUUAACUCGGAAUGGUAACCGGACUUCAUAUCUACCGUCUGCUCUUCUUUUAGUUGUGGCCUUGUAAAAGUCUUCACAUUGUUGUUCUUCUGGCGAAAGAACCUUUUUUGUACUAGUCUGAUCUUGAAUUUCCCAAAACUGUUUAAGAAUUUGAUCUAAAUUGAACUGAGCGUGAGCUACACUAACGCAUGGUUGUGUGUAACUUGAACUAUUGUUAAUGUUUGACCUAUGUACUA